AAACAAUACACUCCUAAAUAACUAAUGGAUGAAAGAAGAAAUUACAAGGGAAAUUAGAAAAAAACUUGAGAAGGAUGAAAAUAAAAGCACAUCAUGCCAAUAUUUAUAGACUGCAGCUAAAGCAGUGCCCAGAGGAAAAGUUAUAGCUAUACAUGCUUAUAUUAAAAAAGACACUCUCAAAUCAAUAACCUUUCUACCUUAAGACACUAGAAAAAUUUCUCACAACAAAAGAUAAGUGUGUGGGGAAGACAGACAGCAGCAGACCCAGGUCUGAGCUCACAUGUAGCCACUGAUGUGCUGUGUGACCUGUACCAUUGGCCCAGGCUCUCUGAGCUUCAGACUUCCCACCUGGAAGUUGGAGAUAAGAACACUUACCUUACAGGAUUGAAAAGGGGUGUAUAACAGGCCAGGGGCUGGCAGACGAAGGGCUUGAGUGAAUGACAGCUCCUUGUCUCCCAUUCCUGGACAGGAAAAGUCUGCACCUCACUGAGAGCCUCGACUUCACAUGCCAACUUCAACAAACUCUCACUGCCCCUCUCCCAGGGGUCAGGCAUUUGCGCUAUGUUAUAUCGUUAACUCCCAGCACAGCCUUCUAAGGUACUACAUAUGACCGCCAUCAUUUUCCACACCAGGCAAGUUUUACAAAGCGUCAGUGCCUUCCCAGAACCAUGUGGCCAGGGGGUAAGAAGAUGGCUCUCCAGCCGCAGGCCAAGCACCUUGUCCUGUCCAUUUCACUGGCCUUCACGGAGGUCCGGGGUGCCUCCCUGCACCACCUGAACCCGAAAGCAAGGCCACAGGGCUGUUGCUCACCCCAGGGCUCCUCUUGGCCUGAGAGUUCCAUGUUCAGCCGCAGGGGAGUUGCUGGCCCCUGGUCUCUGCCUUUUCCUUGGAGAAGCCUCCAUCCAACUGUGUGGUCAUAGCAAAGAGCCAGCAAGGGUCUGACAGGCUGGGGAGCCCAGGAACAGGAGGGUGAGGACCAAGCUCUGGGCAGAUCCCAGCUGCCUCCCCUAGUCCCCUCGGGAAGGGGAGGCCCAGCAGAGAACACAGGGGCCGGGGGGGCCUGGAACGUGCUGAGACCACAGUGCCGGACACUCCCAGCUCAAGGGGCAGCAGCAGGGGCGCCUUCCUGAGGAGUGAGAAGCCAGCGGCCCCUCCCUUCCAUUCUCAACUAAAUGGCCCUCUCUCUGACCCUGCCCGAGACCACAGAGGAAGGAAAGC
rnacentral:lncRNA from 1 species